GUCUACGACCAUACCACCAGGAAAACAUUAAUUCAAAUGAAAACACGGAAAAACUAAACAUAAACUAGAUUAUGAAAUCAAACAAAUUGUACAAAUGUAAAUAAAGUUAUUAAGAAAAAAAACCGGUUCUCGUCUGAUCACCGAAGUUAAGCCUGGUCGGGCGAAGUUAGUACUUGGAUGGGUGACCGCCUGGGAAUACUUCGUGUUGUAGACU
rnacentral:rRNA from 1 species